UGAUGAUGAUGAGGGAAAUUACUGAGUAUACCCUUAAAUGUCUCCCAAGCUUAGUAGAGAUUCUCUCUAUUAUUCUAUCUAAAACUCAAGAUUUCACUCCUCAAGCU